rnacentral:rRNA from 1 species
UACAGAGGGGGCAAGCGUUGUUCGGAAUUACUGGGCGUAAAGGGCGCGUAGGCGGCCUUCUAAGUCGAACGUGAAAUCCCCGGGCUCAACCCGGGAACUGCGUCCGAUACUGGAAGGCUUGAAUCCGGGAGAGGGAUGCGGAAUUCCAGGUGUAGCGGUGAAAUGCGCAGAUAUCGGGAGGAACACCAGUGGCGAAGGCGGCACUCUGGGCCUUACCUGACGCUGAGGAGCGAAAGCGUGGGGAGCGAACAGG